GACGAACGCUGGCGGCGUGCUUAAUACAUGCAAGUAGAACGGGGAGGGAGGAGCUUGGUUCCCUGGAUGAGUUGCGGACGGGUGAGUCACGCGUAGGUUACCUGUCUGGUAGCGGGGGAUAACUGUAGGAAACGAUAGUUAAUACUGGAUAUGAGUAGUUGUCGGAUGAGAUUUGCGAAAAUGGUGUAAUUUGAUCGCUACCAGAUGGACUUGCGUUGUAUUUGCUAGUUGGUGAGGUAACGGCUCACCAAGGUAACGAUACUUAGCGGACCUGAGAGGGUGAUCGGCCACACUGGGACUGAGACACGGCCCAGACUCCUACGGGAGGCAGCAGUAGGGAAUCUUCGGCAAUGGACGGAAGUCUGACCGAGCAACGCCGCGUGAGUGAAGAAGGUUGUCGGAUCGUAAAGCUCGGUUGUAAGAGAAGAACGAGUGUGAGAGUGGAAAGUUCACACUGUGACGGUAUCUGACCAGAAAGGGACGGCUAACUACGUG
rnacentral:rRNA from 1 species